CAGUAGCCACGGUAAUGCGGAGGGUGCAAGCGUUAAUCGGAAUUACUGGGCGUAAAGCGCACGCAGGCGGUCUGUCAAGUCAGAUGUGAAAUCCCCGGGCUUAACCUGGGAACUGCAUUUGAAACUGGCAGGCUAGAGUCUUGUAGAGGGGGGUAGAAUUCCCGGUGUAGCGGUGAAAUGCGUAGAGAUCGGGAGGAACAUCAGUGGCGAAGGCGGCCAUCUGGGACAACACUGACGCUGAGGCACGAAAGCGUGGGGAGCAAACAGGAUUAGAUACCCCUGUAGUCCCUGUCUCUUAUAC
rnacentral:rRNA from 1 species